UCUAGAAUUUAAGCUAUUAGUUUUAAGUUUUGUGUCUGUAGUUUCAAAACAUUUCUUAUCAAUUUCCCACCUUUCAGAAUUUUGUGAAAAUGAAAUGUGUAAAUCCCACAACAUAUUUCACAAGUGCAAGGCCCUUCCCUCCUGACUCCCUAAGCAAUUCUUAAACACUGGGAAAUUGCUGCACUGUGGCCCGCAUGGGAGAUGACCAAGUCCUUCAGGGCCCAGCCCUGUCCCUUCACAUCACCUUACAAGGCUGGAAGCCAGAGCUGGAUGCAUAGCAUACAAAAACCUUCAAAUAAACUCUUAAUUAUAAAAACAAUAGUUACUGUAUGAAAUGUCAGCAACCUUUGGAAAACUAAAAACGGUAAGUUUUUAACAUUCAAUUUACUUUUUUUUUUUUUUUUUUUUUUGAGGGAGUCUUGCUCUGU
rnacentral:lncRNA from 10 species